UUUCUUCUCCACUGGAUCUCAAUGUGGUCACCAGGCUUUAAGUCAUGUAAACAAUCUGAGUUGUGAAGAACAUGUGAAGGAGUAUCAACUGCUGGUGCUCUCAGCCUAUCCCAGGAUAUAUUUUCCUCUACCAUUCGUCGUCCGUGGGGUGAGUACCUGCAAUACAUAAUGAAUGUCAAAAUUAAAGUUGAAAAUGCUAAGAUAUGUUCUCCUCUGUUGAUUGUAAUUUGAAAAUUCUGAAUGUUCUAAGGUGUAAAAGAUGAGAAUCUCUUUCAAUACCUUGCCCGAAAAGUAUCUGUCCGGGAAUCAUAGCUGAGCUGAGCAUCGUAACAAGACAGCAUAAACCCAACAUGCCCAUUCUGCC
rnacentral:lncRNA from 1 species